rnacentral:rRNA from 1 species
ACUAGCUUGAAACUCAAAAGACUUGACAGUAUCUUAUACACACCUAGAGGAGCCUGCCCUAUAAUCGAUAACCCACGAUAUACCUUACCCGCCUUUGCCAAACCAGCCUAUAUACCUCCGUCGCCAGUCCGCCUGUCAACAGCCACCAAAGCGCGUACAACAGUUUUUAACUAACACGACAGGUCAAGGUGUAGCUAAUAGGCCGGCAAGUGGUGGGCUACAUUUUCUUUACAAGAAAGCACCAACGGGCCAUGAAAACCGCACAAAAAGUCGGAUUUAGCAGUAAGGUGGGCCAGCAAGCCCAUCUGAAGCACACCAUAAGAUAUGUACACACCGC